rnacentral:ncRNA from 1 species
AUGAUAGAGGCGCGGCAUUUAUCAGUACCAUACGGCAGAGGUUCAGGAUGACCGUUCGUAUGGAAAAGGAAAGGCCGCCGAAGGGGUGUCUUUGAUCCGAAAGGCGCUUCUGGGCCGCGGGAAGACGGAAUGUGUUCCCUACGGAGAAUAUCCGGCGGACUGUCACUGGAAUGUGGAGCGCUAUCGGA